GCAUGGUGGCGCGUGUCUGUAAUCCCAGCUACUCAGAGGCUGAGGCAGGAGAAUUGCCUGAACCCAGGAGGCGGAGGUUGCGGUGAGCCAAGAUCGCACCAUUGCACUCCAGCCUGGGUAACAAAAGUGAAACUCUGUCUCAAAAAAAAAAAAAAAGAAAUGGCCUUCCCAACACCCUACACAGCGCAGUCAUUGGCCUGUGCAUAAACUUGGCCCUGUGCCCAGAAUGACCACAUUGACAUUUAGAAGAAUAUAUGGGGGAACAAGAUACAUGUCUCCACACCUCAUCAAGGAUAUAAGGGCCAAAAUAGGUUUAUUCUUCUAGACCCCAAACACACACACACACACACACACACACACACACACACAGAGCUGGGAAGCGUUUAUCAGUUAGGAGAAGUGCGAGGAAUGGAAAAGAAUGAGGAGAGGAAGGGGAAGGCAAGAGCUGAAUAAAUUGGCUUGUUAACAAAGGCUGGAGGAGAGAACAUUAGCAAGAAAAAGAAUGGGAGCUGGAGAGUCCCCAAGCACAGAAGCCGGGGAAAUGAAGGGACAAAUUCAGGAAGGAAUGGUAUUUAAAAUGUGUGCACAUCUGAGGAGCAGAAAAACCAAAAGGGUUCCUUUUACUUAUUGAAAGGCAUUUUAGUGUGGUUUAUGUGUAAUAUCAAAGAUUACUUAAUACUUCUCACAUUUAUAAGUGAUCUAUAAGGUCAUAUGUUUUAAAAUAGUAGUGAGUUAAACUUCACUCUUGAAUUCCUUAUAAUCUAAGUCAAACUGAGUUAUAAUUUAGGAUUGUCUUUAAAUAGCCAUUCAGAAAUAUAAAAUUAUAGAACUACUGUGUAUUUGUGAUUGGGAAUGGUGCUUUUGCCAACUUAAAAGGAUUAAAGUAGAGGAGAUAUACACAUAUUUUAAAAUUAUAUGUGACCAUAAGACUUAAGAUAAUUAAAAAGAAAACCACAGGAGGGAAAAAUACCUGGACAAAGGUUAGAAAAUUCAACGAGAUAACUCUAGUGGCUAUCACAAAGAAUAACCACUACUAAUCAUACAUAUGACUUGUAAGGGUAGCCGAGAGAAAGGAGAACAGACCCAGAGUCAGGCAUGAAAGUGUAUUAACCUGCCAGGCUGCUUAGAGGAGGCAGCAGGAGCUCUGAGCUUACAAAACGAGUGGUUUAUAUGGGGUGAGGGAGGCAAAAGGGGGUUUCAGGCAACAGGCACAGAGAUAGUUUGUUAGCUUGCAACUGACCUACAAUACAUCAUCCUGUGACUUUCGUGGCAGCAAUCUUUAAAAAAAGACCGAAAUCAGGAUUUUUUAUAGAUAUGUGUCAAACAGGAAUUUACGAGUAUGGAUAAUGAACAUAUGUUUUCCCUGUCCUCCCUUGAGCUGUCUGAAUGGCUGUAAUCAGGCUUUGCUUAAUUGCCACGUCUGGCAGCUUUGGUGCGGCGCCUAGGUAGGGGUUCAGGAGUGCAGCUGCAGAGCAGUCGGCAGGGGUGGAGUCAGCCUGUGCAGAGUGGGUUUUCUGAGGCAGGUCAGCUCCAUCCCUAACGUGACUUCUAGAAAGAGUAAAAUUUUUGGCUAUACAGUGAUGUAAACUUAAAAUCUAUCACCCCUAUUUUACUUCAACAAACUGAAACAAAUAUUUCUUUAGUGCUUAUUAUAUAAAAGGACCUGUCCUAUGUGUUGUGUGAGACAGGGAAAAAUGGCAAUUAUUUUUCAUUAAGAAACAGGGAAAAGGCCGGGUGCGGUGGUUCACGCCUGUAAUUCCAACACUUUGGGAGGUGGAGGUAGGCAGAUCACUUGAGGUCAGCAGUUCGAGACCAGUCUGGCCAACAUGGUGAAACUCUGCGUCUACUAAAAGUACUAAAAUUAGCCAGACGUGGUGGCAUGCAUCGGUAGUCUCAGCUACUUGGGUGGCUGAGGCAGGAGGAUUGCUUGAACCCAGGAGGUGGAG
ensembl:lncRNA